GGAAGUAAAAGUCGUAACAAGGUUUCCGUAGGUGAACCUGCGGAAGGAUCAUUACCGAGUUCGUGGGCGUUCUAACCGGACCCCAAACUCCCACCCCGUGUGUACCUCCAACCUCGUUGCUUUGGCGGGCCUGCGCGCCCUCAGAAAGCGCGCUGCCGGCUCCGCUGGCUCGUGCCCGCCAGAGGACCUUCAAACUCUUGCCUUUAACCGUGCCGUCUGAGUGUGAAACCUAAUACGUUUAAAACUUUCAACAACGGAUCUCUUGGUUCUGGCAUCGAUGAAGAACGCAGCGAAAUGCGAUAAGUAAUGUGAAUUGCAGAAUUCAGUGAAUCAUCGAAUCUUUGAACGCACAUUGCGCCCUUUGGUAUUCCGAAGGGCAUGCCUGUUCGAGCGUCAUUACACCCCUCAAGCUCUGCUUGGUAUUGGGCCCUCGUCCGUCAGGGACGGGCCUCAAAAUCCUCGGCGGCGGUGCCCGGCUUUGAGCGUAGUAGAACUUCUCGUCUCGCUUUGAAAGCCUGUGGCGCCCGCUUGCCGGACGACCCCCAAUCUUUCUCCCAAGGUUGACCUCGGAUCAGGUAGGGAUACCCGCUGAACUUAAGCAUAUCAAUAAGCGGAGGAA
rnacentral:rRNA from 1 species